UACGAAGGGUGCUAGCGUUGUUCGGAAUCACUGGGCGUAAAGCGUGCGCAGGCGGUUCGUUGUGUCGGCGGUGAAAGCCCCGGGCUCAACCUGGGAAUGGCCGUUGAAACUGGCGAACUGGAGUGUGGCAGAGGGGGGUGGAAUUCCGCGUGUAGCAGUGAAAUGCGUAGAGAUGCGGAGGAACACCGAUGGCGAAGGCAGCCCCCUGGGCUGACACUGACGCUCAGGCACGAAAGCGUGGGGAGCAAACAGG
rnacentral:rRNA from 1 species